GCUGGCCUCUCAUAAGCACUCAUGGAGAUAAGACACAUAUUCAUUAAUCAAAUCUUGCAACCCUUGCUCCUGGUUUCUUGUCCCCUUAAUAACCUUCUUGUGUUGAAUACCUGCAAGGAACAAUAGCAACAAACUUUGAAUGACAAACUAUUUGCCAAUUUGUAUUGGAAACAUUUCCUUGUGCUUUACAAUAUUUUACAUGCAUUUGGCAAACCCUGUAUAAAAAGUAUUUUGAAUUACUAAUUAUCAGGAGGAGUGAGAGUUUAUUGUAUGUGUAUGAUUGUAAUAUAGGUCAUAGUAGAUUGAGAGCAGAAAUGUUUUUUUCUCACCAAGUCCUCUUUAAAUAGUUUCAACAGUAUAUUUACACUUUUCUUUUGCUUUUUAAGAACACUUCCUGGCAUUGCACAGAUCAGACAAAAUUAAUAUACUAAUAUAACCUAUUGUUAUUUUCUCUUUUCUACCAGCUAGAGCAUAACUUUGCACCAUACACAUGGUCGGGUCAUCAAUUUCUUUAUUUUUGGUCCAUUUCCUGUAGGAGAGACUUCCAAUGCCCCAGAAUGGAGUGAGGGAAAACAAGAUAAAAAUAAAAACACUGUGAAGGAAACAGUUGAACCUCACCUGACAUACCUAAUAGUUAUGUCCUAUAGCAUGUGGUGUCCAAAUGUUGGCUUUCCAUCCUCUGACAUGCUUCUGUGAUACUUUCAGACUCCUGGUAUGAGCAGUCUCCCAGAUGAAAACCCAGCAACAUCUUUUCUGGCUGAUAUAUCUAUCUAUCCUUUGUCCUCGUUCACAGUAAUCCAUCCCCUAUGAUUCCCUUAGUAAGAUCGCUUCAUCCUCACAGGUGAUUAGCUCUAAAACUCAUGCUUGGCAUUCACUUCAGGAUGGCUCAAGCCUGCUUCUCUUCUGUGGAACCUGCCCUAGGCUCAGGAUCAUGGGAAACUGUAGGAUUGCCCGCCUUAUCUCUGGACUGGACUGGCAAUACUCUCAGACCUCUAAACUAGGAGGACAAGUGUUUCCCUCUACUCACCUGAUCUAACAAAGAGCCAUGGAUGGUUGCCUUAAACAGCUGUUGAUGUCUCACAGUGUUAAGAGGCUGAAAAGGCCAAGAUUCAAUUCCUCAAGGAAGGCUUUCUUACUGGUACAUUAUGCGCACACUCAGGAUUUUGCUCUACUCUACCCUGCAAUUUGAGUCUAUGAGCAGCACAGAGGGACUGUUCCUGUAAAUGGACAAUGUAACAUGAGGAAGAAAUCAAUUUCUGCUCUGCAUAAGCUGGAUGGUAGUUUAUCUUCAUUACCAACACAGCUGUAUUGGAGUGACCCAAGAAGACAGUAACAUAUAACCUCUAGGUGCAUCUGGAAGCCUCUUCUAGAGAUUAGGGAUGUGCUGUAGAGUAUUGGACAAAGAGUGGUGUACUUGAUGCUGUAGGCAGCGCUGUCGUUGAACCGAAGCAGAAUGGAUUCUGGGUACCAGUAGACUUAGCAGAAAAGUCAACUUGGCCUCUCGUUGAAUAGGUCUGCAUGUGCAAAACUGAGCCCAGGACACAAGAAAGCUCCAUCAAUGAAGACUGUAACAGGCUUCUAAGUCUCUAGAAAUCGCUACCCACUUUCCCAAGGACCAUCUAAUUACAUAGCCACACCAUAAUCCUCUCCACACAUUUCUCUGGUCACGCAUUCAGCAAUAUUUUUACAACCAAAUCUCAGAUUAAAAUGUAUUUAUUUCUCUUAACCC
ensembl:lincRNA Gm26743 predicted gene, 26743